rnacentral:rRNA from 1 species
AUUGAACGCUGGCGGCAGGCCUAACACAUGCAAGUCGAGCGAGCGGCGGACGGGUGAUUAAUGUAUGGGAAACUGCCUGAUGGAGGGGGAUAACUACUGGAAACGGAAGCUAAUACCGUAUACCAUCAGAUGUGCCCAGAUGGGAUUAGCUAGUAGGUGGGGUAAUGGCUCACCUAGGCGACGAUCCCGAGCUGGUCUGAGAGGAUGACCAGCCACACUGGAACGGAGACACGGUCCAGACUCCUACGGGAGGCAGAAGUGGGGAAUAUUGCACAAUGGGCGAAAGCCUGAUGCAGCCAUGCCGCGUGUGUGAAGAAGGCCUUCGGUUUGUAAAGCACUUUCAGCGAGGAGGCGUUACUCGCAGAAGAAGCACCGGCUAACUCCGUGCCAGCAGCCGCGGUAAUUC